GAUGAACGCUGGCGGCGUGCUUAACACAUGCCAGUCGAACGGAAAGGCUCCUGCUUGCAGGGGUACUCGAGUGGCGAACGGGUGAGUAACACGUGGGUGAUCUGCCCUGCACUUCGGGAUAAGCCUGGGAAACUGGGUCUAAUACCGGAUAGGACGAUGGUUUGGAUGCCAUUGUGGAAAGUUUUUCGGUGUGGGAUGAGCUCGCGGCCUAUCAGCUUGUUGGUGGGGUAAUGGCCUACCAAGGCGUCGACGGGUAGCCGGCCUGAGAGGGUGUACGGCCACAUUGGGACUGAGAUACGGCCCAGACUCCUACGGGAGGCAGCAGUGGGGAAUAUUGCACAAUGGGCGCAAGCCUGAUGCAGCGACGCCGCGUGGGGGAUGACGGCCUUCGGGUUGUAAACUCCUUUCGUCAGGGACGAAGCGAAAGUGACGGUACCUGGAUAAGAAGCACCGGCUAACUACGU
rnacentral:rRNA from 1 species